UACGUAGGUGGCGAGCGUUGUCCGGAUUUACUGGGCGUAAAGGGAGCGUAGGCGGAUUUUUAAGUGAGAUGUGAAAUACCCGGGCUCAACUUGGGUGCUGCAUUUCAAACUGGAAGUCUAGGGUGCAGGAGAGGAGAGUGGAAUUCCUAGUGUAGCGGUGAAAUGCGUAGAGAUUAGGAAGAACACCAGUGGCGAAGGCGACUCUCUGGACUGUAACUGACGCUGAGGCUCGAAAGCGUGGGGAGCAAACAGG
rnacentral:rRNA from 1 species